UACGGAGGGUGCAAGCGUUAUCCGGAAUCACUGGGUUUAAAGGGUGCGUAGGCGGUUAAAUAAGUCCGUUGUGAAAGCCACCAGCUUAACUGGGAGAACUGCGAUGGAUACUGUUUAACUUGAAUCAGGUUGAGGCCGGCGGAAUGCGACAUGUAGCGGUGAAAUGCAUAGAUAUGUCGUGGAACACCGAUUGCGAAGGCAGCUGACUAGACCUUGAUUGACGCUGAGGCACGAAAGCGUGGGGAGCAAACAGG
rnacentral:rRNA from 1 species